rnacentral:rRNA from 1 species
AUUGAACGCUGGCGGCAGGCUUAACACAUGCAAGUCGAGCGGAGAUGAGGUGCUUGCACCUUAUCUUAGCGGCGGACGGGUGAGUAAUGCUUAGGAAUCUGCCUAUUAGUGGGGGACCGCAUUCCGAAAGGAAUGCUAAUACCGCAUACGUCCUACGGGAGAAAGCAGGGGAUCUUCGGACCUUGCGCUAAUAGAUGAGCCUAAGUCGGAUUAGCUAGUUGGUGGGGUAAAGGCCUACCAAGGCGACGAUCUGUAGCGGGUCUGAGAGGAUGAUCCGCCACACUGGGACUGAGACACGGCCCAGACUCUUACGGGAGGCAGCAGUGGGGAAUAUUGGACAAUGGGGGGAACCCUGAUCCAGCCAUGCCGCGUGUGUGAAGAAGGCCUUAUGGUUGUAAAGCACUUUAAGCGAGGAGGAGGCUACUGAGACUAAUACUCUUGGAUAGUGGACGUUACUCGCAGAAUAAGCACCGGCUAACUCCGUGCCAGCAGCCGCUGUAAAAC